rnacentral:lncRNA from 1 species
AUUGCAGAGAAAAACGAGCAGAGACACACGAGAUGAAGAGUCACGUCAGGUUCCUUCACAGAGUGUCACUUAUGAUGCACAAGCUUCCACAUUGACCUCUCUUUUGGACAGUUUGGAAUAUGUGAGUAGGCAUUCACUGUCUUGACAUACUAUCACUGAGAAUAUGUGCUCACUGUUAUGUGUCCUACCCAUACCAGGUUGGAGAUAGUGCCGAGACAAUUCUAGACAGCGCUUGUGCAUGCCAGGAAACAGAAGUAAGCAAUCAUGCCAACAGCUUAAGCUUACAGGUACACCAGACACGAUAAAACCAUGCCAACUGUUGCUAUCGUUCUUUCAACAGGAGACUUCCCACAGUGAGCCUGCAGUGUUCACUGAUGCAUUUGAAAGUGAACCAGCUGUAUGUGACCUCCUGCACCACUUAUUGGCACAAGUGCUGUUCAAUUCUUUACACAUUAUGAAAGAGUAAGCAGUCGUGCAAAUUCUUCUGCCUCCUUAUAUUGUCAUAUUUAAAGGUAACUCAACUUCAACAGGCUGCAGCACACAUGGAAACCACAUCAUUCAACAAUGUUUUGGGGAAUGAAGAUGUAAGUGCUCACACAGCCAGUCUAGGCUUCUGAACACGGUGCCUGUUAAGAAGUACACACAUUCACAUGGUUUCUCCUUUCAUAGGCUCACUGCAAUGAAGAUACAUUUCCCAGCUCUGGCACAGUUUGUGAACCAGAUGUGAGUGGUCGGGACAAUCUAGGCUUUUUCAUAUGCUGCUUCAAGUGGAACUGAGCUGCCAAUUUCUUCUGCAGGUUUCCCUUCACAUUGGAAAUUCACUAGUCAGAUGUACAUUGGAUAAGGAACCAGAUGCUUUCACUUAUGGUGUAGCUACUCCAGACAGCAGUGUUGCAGAAAAUGAAGUUUGUGGGAGCUUAAUAUCAGAUCACGAAGUUGACGUAAGUAUGC